CGCCGCUUGCCUCGGCCGGCGCAGCCCCGGCCGCCGGGCGCACCCGUCCCGUGCGUCCCCGGACGUCGCUCUCUGCCCCGGGAACGUCGGGACUGGAGCGCCCGCGCUGAGCCACCUUCACCGACCCAGAGCGCUGCGGCUCGACUCACCACGGAGGCGCUGGGACGCGGGGAAGUGCGUACUCUCAACGGGGAAUGUGUGUGGAGGCUUUUAGGGGUGCGGGGUAACUCCCCAACUCCAUGGGGGCCCUGGUCGGCUCUGCCGCCGCGUCAGAGAUCUGAUGACUCGCUGCGCGCGGCGCGGGGUCGGCGACUUGGGGCGGCGGGGCGCAGAGUACCGUGACCUGGGGGGUCCCCGAAGCUGGUAGCCAGGUCGCCUCGCCUCGGGCCUCCUUGACCCCUGAGGCGAGGCCUGAACCGGGUCGAGAGCGAUCUUGAUGCCGGGGGAGUCCAGCCCGCCUGGGACGCUCUCGCGGUCGUGGGGACUCGUCUGGGGCGGCGGUGGCUGAGCCCGAGUCCGGCGCCGCCACCGCCGGCGUCCCGUGCGCUCGCUACCCGCCUGGGGACCGGCCGCCUAACUUCUUCCCGGGACGGACACAGCGCUCGCAUCCCGGGCAGAGGUGGAAGCUCGCUGAUCCGGAUUCGGCGAGGGCACCGCUCUCGGCGGCGGCGGCGGCGAGGGAACAAGUCUCGGGGAGUCAACCUAGGGCACCGAGCCCCCACCCAGGACCCGGCGGGCCCCAGCGGGCGCGGAGAGAGAUGCGCGUUUCAGGCAGAGGUCCUCUCCUCCGGUUUUCGCGACCCUGGCGGGACCCUCUGCCCUGCAAACUCCCACCUGGGACCGCGGCUCCGGCAGGUCAAGAUCCCUAGUGGAAGGCAGGUCAGGGGCCUGAAGGUAGACCCUUUUCUCUUUCUCCCAGCCAGGCGAUGCCCCUGCGGCCUGGGGCGGCGGCGUUGGGUGCUGCAGAGCCCGGGAACUUCCCACCCAGAGGAAAGGCCGCUUCAUCCCGGACCCCGCUGUUCUCCGCGCCCCCGGCACUGCCCAUCAGCACCGUGGGUAGGGGUCUUUAGAGCCUCUGCGGGCAGCCCAGGGAGACCACCAACCCAUAGGCCCUUGGGCCCCAGGGAGGCUCAGGUGAGCAGCGCUUGUCCUCCGGACUGUUGGCCGUUCUGGCGGAUCUGCUUCUGUUCCUCGGGCCAGCCGGCUCCACCCCGCGUCUCUGGAUUCCGGGACAUCGGACAUCUGGCUCCCACCACGCCUUGUGCAGGUAACGAAGCUCCCAGCUGCCAGAUAGAUGGAUGCUGAGACUCCCCGUGGGGUGUUCAGGGCCCCCCCUGCAGGAGGGCCCCCCUGGGGCUUCAGGGGGGGAGCAGGGGCAGCCCACACACCUGGCCAAGCGUGUUGAAGAGUGACAGGUGUGUCCUGGCCGUGAGCUUGUCCGGAGGCCUCAGCGCUCCGUCUCCCCAGCCCCCUCCCCGGGCCUCCUGGGGCCCUGGGGGAAUCCCAGCUGCCUUCCUGCCUCUGAGCCUCCGUGCAUACUGUUCCCUCUGCCUCCUCCCUCCCCUGGGACCCGCAGGCCUUCUCCUCGGCCUGCACCUCCCUCUGGGUCAGGCCUGCUCCACCCCCACCGUCUCCCUCCUCGUGGCCGAGGGCCGGGCACCUCUCACUACUGGUCUUGUGUCAGCUGCUGCCCAGACUCUGCCUCUCCCAGGCCGGCCCAGCCAGGAUCCUCCGCAGUGACGAGCCUGCCCCCUGCGCCCCCGAGGAAUCCAAUAAAUCUUUGUGAAACCAG
ensembl:lncRNA uncharacterized LOC113879831